UACGUAGGGCGCAAGCGUUAUCCGGAAUUAUUGGGCGUAAAGAGCUCGUAGGCGGUUUGUCGCGUCUGCCGUGAAAGUCCGGGGCUCAACUCCGGAUCUGCGGUGGGUACGGGCAGACUAGAGUGAUGUAGGGGAGACGUGGAAUCCUGGUGUAGCGGUGAAAUGCGCAGAUAUCAGGAGGAACGACCGAUGGCGAAGGCAGGUCUCUG
rnacentral:rRNA from 1 species